rnacentral:rRNA from 1 species
UACGUAGGGGGCAAGCGUUGUCCGGAUUUAUUGGGCGUAAAGAGCGUGUAGGCGGUUAGGUAGGUCCGUUGUGAAAACUCGAGGCUCAACCUCGAGACGCCGAUGGAAACCAUCUGACUAGAGUCCGGAAGAGGAGAGUGGAAUUCCUGGUGUAGCGGUAAAAUGCGCAGAUAUCAGGAAGAACACCCGUGGCUAAGGCGGCUCUCUAGUACGUGACUGACGCUGAGACGCGAAAGCGUGGGGAGCGAACAGG